rnacentral:hammerhead_ribozyme from 1 species
AUCCAUCUGACGAGUCUGAAAUAGGACGAAACGCGAGUCCUGAAU